CCUUGUCUCUGGCUUCCAAAGUCUGGUUCCCUUCUGUUACUUUUAUCCCGGCCCUGCAAAUGAGCACAGGUUCACAGCCCAGGCGCCCGACUCUGAAUCUAAGGCAAGCUCUGGACCGCUGCACGUGCACCCUGCGUCCCCGCGACUCUGGGCCGGUUCCUUCUCCCGCCCAUCCGGGUCUCCCUCUGCCCGGCGACGGCCAAGGACCGCACGGCUCCAAACCGGCCACCAGGUCCCCGUCCGCUCCUUCUACCCCCGCGCCCCGGCUCCCGGCCGCUGCAGCGGCGCGGGGCUGACCAGGCUUGGGAGGCCCGCUUUCGGCCGGGGCAGGGGAGGAUCCAGCUUCCCCCCCGCUCCCUCCCUCCUGGGCAGACCCCGAGGGGUCCCCUCCCCCCCGGCAAAAGUGGGGACCGGCUUCCAAGGUGACGGAGGACUCCUGAGAACGUGCGCCCGGGCAGGAAGGCCAGGCUGCCUCGGGACGGAGGCUCGACUCAGAAAACGCGCGGGCGCCAAGCCCCCCAGGGGAGCGCUGCCCACAGCAGGAGGGCUGGCCGGGCAGUGCAAAGCCUGGAAUCCCCUGAGCAAGCAGUGUUUCAGCUGGCUGGACAGAUCAAAUAACACUUGGGCUGGUUAACAAAGGACACGCAAGUGGGAAGGUGUUGGAAGCUGGAGUGUGGAAAUUUACCCAACGCUAUUUCUUUGACAGGAAAGGAGACAUGGUCUGAAAGAUGCCGCAUUCCUGCAGCCUCUCUGAGUCCAGCAGAACAGAGUCUUGUUCACGGUGGCGUGGAUGAGGGGGUGACAGAGGAUGCUGCCCCCUCGGAAGCCUCUGGAGGAUCCUGGCAUGGCAGCUGAGUGCCCCUCGGAUUUGGGACUUGAGGUGUAACUUGGUGUAGAGCUCAAGAAAGGUGGUUGGGUUCCUCCGGCUUUCUUCACCAGUGCUCACCAGCCUGAUUUGGGCUAUGAAACCUAGGAGGAGCUGGUAGAAAAGGGAGCUGGCGGAGGUAAAAGAAACCCCUAGAAGCCUCCAGAAUCCAUUGCCGGGAUCCCUUCAUACUGCUCAGGACACAAUAGUUACCAAGCUGCCGGAGGCUGUGACAAAACUGAGCUUUGGACCAUCGUAAAGGAACACAGCUCACUAACAGCUCUACAUUUCAGCCAGAAGGAACCUCUUUCAACAAAAGAUUCAAAGGGGAGCGUUUCUGCAUUUUUUACCUUGAGGUCCAUUAUGGUAGAAAACUUUACAUCCACAUAGAUGAUGAGACUGGUUUUUCUUUCCAAGAUGCUACGUUUUAAAAAAGCAUGAGCCAUUCUAAGCUUCGAGGAGAGUUCAGGGUACAGACGAGUUGGCAGACGGCCCUCCCAAUGCAAGUUAAGAAAAUCCUCUGAGCCUUCUCCUUCCAUAGCUCAGCAAGCAUGGACAUAUGCCACUCUUGUCUCCAGGGAGCCGGUGGCAGCGACAUCAGCACGAGGAGAGGCAUCCCUCGGCUUUGGGACUUGACAGAAUGAGGUGUGCUGGGGAAGCCGCUACCCGGGACUUGGCCGAUUUUGACCGCCCCUUCACCACGCGGGCAGA
ensembl:lncRNA